CUACAGAGGGUGCGAGCGUUAAUCGGAAUUACUGGGCGUAAAGAGCACGUAGGUGGUUUAUCAAGUUGGCUGUGAAAUCCCCGGGCUUAGCCUGGGCUGGUCAGCCAAUACUGGUAGACUAGAGGCCAAGAGAGGGUAGUGGAAUUUCCGGUGUAGCGGUGAAAUGCAUAGAUAUCGGAAGGAACACCAGUGGCGAAGGCGACUACCUGGCUUGGUUCUGACACUGAGGUGCGAAAGCGUGGGGAGCAAACAGGAUUAGAAACCCCAGUAGUCC
rnacentral:rRNA from 1 species